ACUUAAAUUGAAGAGUUUGAUCAUGGCUCAGAUUGAACGCUGGCGGCAGGCCUAACACAUGCAAGUCGAGCGGUAGCACAGGAGAGCUUGCUCUCUGGGUGACGAGCGGCGGACGGGUGAGUAAUGUCUGGGAAACUGCCUGAUGGAGGGGGAUAACUACUGGAAACGGUAGCUAAUACCGCAUAACGUCGCAAGACCAAAGAGGGGGACCUUCGGGCCUCUUGCCAUCAGAUGUGCCCAGAUGGGAUUAGCUAGUAGGUGGGGUAACGGCUCACCUAGGCGACGAUCCCUAGCUGGUCUGAGAGGAUGACCAGCCACACUGGAACUGAGACACGGUCCAGACUCCUACGGGAGGCAGCAGUGGGGAAUAUUGCACAAUGGGCGCAAGCCUGAUGCAGCCAUGCCGCGUGUAUGAAGAAGGCCUUCGGGUUGUAAAGUACUUUCAGCGGGGAGGAAGGCGAUAAGGUUAAUAACCUUGUCGAUUGACGUUACCCGCAGAAGAAGCACCGGCUAACUCCGUGCCAGCAGCCGCGGUAAUACGGAGGGUGCAAGCGUUAAUCGGAAUUACUGGGCGUAAAGCGCACGCAGGCGGUCUGUCAAGUCGGAUGUGAAAUCCCCGGGCUCAACCUGGGAACUGCAUUCGAAACUGGACGCAUCGAGCAGCUAGAGUCUUGUAGAGGGGGGUAGAAUUCCAGGUGUAGCGGUGAAAUGCGUAGAGAUCUGGAGGAAUACCGGUGGCGAAGGCGGCCCCCUGGACAAAGACUGACGCUCAGGUGCGAAAGCGUGGGGAGCAAACAGGAUUAGAUACCCUGGUAGUCCACGCCGUAAACGAUGUCGACUUGGAGGUUGUGCCCUUGAGGCGUGGCUUCCGGAGCUAACGCGUUAAGUCGACCGCCUGGGGAGUACGGCCGCAAGGUUAAAACUCAAAUGAAUUGACGGGGGCCCGCACAAGCGGUGGAGCAUGUGGUUUAAUUCGAUGCAACGCGAAGAACCUUACCUACUCUUGACAUCCAGAGAACUUUCCAGAGAUGGAUUGGUGCCUUCGGGAACUCUGAGACAGGUGCUGCAUGGCUGUCGUCAGCUCGUGUUGUGAAAUGUUGGGUUAAGUCCCGCAACGAGCGCAACCCUUAUCCUUUGUUGCCAGCGGUUCGGCCGGGAACUUGUUGCAGCGUCGCGAACUCAAGGAGACUGCCAGUGAUAAACUGGAGGAAGGUGGGGAUGACGUCAAGUCAUCAUGGCCCUUACGAGUAGGGCUACACACGUGCUACAAUGGCGCAUACAAAGAGAAGCGACCUCGCGAGAGCAAGCGGACCUCAUAAAGUGCGUCGUAGUCCGGAUUGGAGUCUGCAACUCGACUCCAUGAAGUCGGAAUCGCUAGUAAUCGUAGAUCAGAAUGCUACGGUGAAUACGUUCCCGGGCCUUGUACACACCGCCCGUCACACCAUGGGAGUGGGUUGCAAAAGAAGUAGGUAGCUUAACCUUCGGGAGGGCGCUUACCACUUUGUGAUUCAUGACUGGGGUGAAGUCGUAACAAGGUAACCGUAGGGGAACCUGCGGUUGGAUCACCUCCUUACCUUAAAGAA
rnacentral:rRNA from 1 species